GAGCCCACGGAGGCAGAGCGGGGUAACCAGGGUGUCAGUGGGUGCCAGAACGGCCACUCCAUGCUGACCCCCACGCCGGCAGUGCCAAGCGGACCCACGAACGCUGGCUCUCGUGCCAAAGGAUGAUUUCCCACUUCAGCUCCUUGAGGGAACAUCUUCCACAAGAUGGAGCCUGUGGGCAAACGAUGUGUGGCCGGGAGGACACCGGACGGCGAGCGGCUGCCUGUGCGUCCGGCCGCCUCGACACACAGGGGUCUGUCCGUCCAUCUGUCACCCAGGUGAUGCCCGGAGAGUCACGCAGAAUGGUCUAUCUGCCCAUCUGUUCGUCUCCCAGGCGGUGCCCGGAGAGCAGUACAGAGCGGUCUGUCUGUCUGUCUGUCCAUCUGUCUGUCUCCCAGGCGGUGCCAGGCAGCAAUGGAGAGAGGUUCGGAACCUGGCAGCCCCGAGGCCAGGGAUGCCAUCUCAAGGUCUGUUGCAGAGUGUGGGAAGCUACAGCUCUACUUAUGGCCUGUGAGGGGAAAGGAGCGAUACCCUGGACAGAGCCAGUGAGCUCCAGAACAUCACGGCUCAGACUCCACACAUCGUGUUCCAGAGGAGGGCUGGAGCAGGUAAUCACUUCCCUCUCUGGAGGUGUCGGCAGGGUCAGGGCUGAUGCAUUGUAAAUCAGCACCUUGAUGGAAUGGCACCUCGUUUUACUGAGCCUGCCCUUGUCUGUUUGAGAUUCACGUAUAAUUCUACCCCUUGCUGCUGGGGAGGUGGCUUUCCAGGCGAUAACUGCUUCCUUUUGGCACCCAAACAUGAACAGCAAACCAAACCAUGGACUGGCACUACGGCAUGGCCAUGCUGGGAACCCAAAGGUGAGGUGGAAUAAAAGUGCAUCUCUCCUAAAUAUGUGGCCAGCUCUGAGCUCCUACAAAUAAUCCACGUUCAGUGCCUCAUCUUUGCCAUCCCUACACUGGCAAGGGCUCCCUGCUGGCCCAGGAGAGCUGGUCCCAGCAUUGCCCUGUCCCCUCCAAGCCUGGCUGUCCCUCCCUGUGCAGUGGGAGAAGGUGAUGCUCGAGGUAUGGCACCUGGGGGGAACCACUGAAAAGCUCAGACCAGGCCAUGAUUAUAAAACAAAUAUUCAACAUCAGCAUCCAACAGUCAAUAUAUUCAGCAUCUCACCUUGGUCUUGGCGCAGUCCUGCCUGGCUGGGGCUGCCCACGCAGCUCCGCUGGGAUGGAGAGCCCAGGUGAUGCUAACCUAGAAAAGAGAAAAUCUCAGCUUUGUAUUUAACAAGCAGCAGAUGAUGCGGCCGUGUCUUGUUUGCUUGGAGCCAAGCGAAACCCUGCUGCUCUGGAGCAAAACGGUGAGUUAUUGAGGGGAGAAACGCGUGGGCAGGAAGCUGAGCCACGACAUCCCUCCCCUCCCGCCCACGGCCGUGUCCAGCCACCACAGGGAGAGACCAGCUCUGUAACAAGCACACCAGAACCAUCCCUCGGCCUUAGGCAAAGACAAAAGGGAGAUGAAAACAAAACCCAGAGUAAGAAUUAAAUUGUGCACUCUUGCUGGUGGAGGUGAAGCAUAAACCAAUAAAUGGCAGAAAUGCGUCUGAUAAA